rnacentral:misc_RNA from 1 species
GAUGAAGAACGCAGCGAAAUGCGAUACUUGGUGUGAAUUGCAGAAUCCUGUGAACCAUCGAGUCUUUGAACGCAAGUUGCGCCCGAAGCCAUUAGGCCGAGGGCACGCCUGCCUGGGCGUCACACGUCGUUGCCCCCCCAUCUACUCCUUCGGGAUUGCGGGGGGCGGAUGAUGGCCUCCCGUGCGCCUCGCCGCGCGGUUGGCAUAAAUGCCAAGUCCUCGGCGACGCACGCCACGACAAUCGGUGGUUGCGAAACCUCGGUUGCCCGUCGUGUGCGGUCGUCGCGCAUCGAGGGCUCGAAAAAAUUGCCGGGUUCCGGCUCGGCUUUCAACGCGACCCCAGGUCAGGCGGGGUUACCCGCUGAAUUUAAGCAUAUCAAUAAGCGGAGGA